rnacentral:sRNA from 1 species
AAGUAUAGCAAGGAAUAUGGCAAGCUAUGUAGGACCAACCAGAUUGGAACUGUGAAUGACAGGCUAAUGCACAAGCUGAGUGUGGAAGCCCCACCCAAAAUCCUGGUGGAGAGAUACCUGAUUGAAAUUGCAAAGAAUUACAAUGUACCCUAUGAACCUGACUCUGUGGUCAUGGCAGAAGCUCCUCCUGGGGUAGAGACAGAUCUUAUUGAUGUUGGAUUCACAGAUGACGUGAAGAAAGGAGGCCCUGGAAGAGGGGGUGGUGGCUUCACAGCACCAGUUGGUGGACCUGAUGGAACGGUGCCAAUGCCCAUGCCCAUGCCUAUGCCAUCUGCAAAUACGCCUUUCUCAUAUCCACUGCCAAAGGGACCAUCAGAUUUCAAUGGACUGCCAAUGGGGACUUAUCAGGCCUUUCCCAAUAUUCAUCCACCUCAGAUACCAGCAACUCCCCCAUCGUAUGAAUCUGUAAGUGCCUGAGCCUCUUUUAUAAGCAACAGGAGAGUGAAUGCCAUGAAGAGCGAGCAAAAUAAUGACCACAGGGAAGGCAGAGUUUUGAUCAACUCCUAGUACUGUCAUCAUUUUUGCUUUGGGAUU